rnacentral:rRNA from 1 species
AUUGGGGCGUAAAGGGCUCGCAGGCGGUUUCUUAAGUCUGAUGUGAAAGCCCCCGCCUCAACCGGGGAGGGUCAUUGGAAACUGGGGAACUUGAGUGCCUAUGAGGAGAGUGGAAUUCCACGUGUAGCGGUGAAAUGCGUAGAGAUGUGGAGGAACACCAGUGGCGAAGGCUACUCUCUGGACUGUAACUGACUCUGAGGAGCGAAAGCGUGGGGAGCGAACAGGAUUAGAUACCCUGGUAGUCCGCGCCGGAAACGAUGAGUGCUAGGUGUU